GGUGGUGUCGGUGGACUGUAUCCAGGGCAAGUGCCAGGAGGAUAUGGAGCUGGGUCUAAGGCUGCAAAAUAUGGAGUACCAGGGGGAGUACCAGGGGGAGU